AUUUAGUUUAUUUCUGUCACAACUCUGGGAAGCCCCUAACUCGCAUUUGUUUUGAGUAUCACAAGAAAAGCAAGCCCGAAGAAACUACAAAAACAACUUUGCCUCUUCGGUAAUGCGCACGCGCCCCCGCUCUGUUUUCCGUUGGCCUUAAGCCCCGCCCCUUGUGCGUCCUUCGAGGAGGGUUGCGAGCCGUGAGCUUGCGCGACCACUCUUCCCUCAGUCUUCUCGAGCACGUCGUCGCAAACGGGGCCGGAAAGCGUGGCAGCGCAGGCGCAAGCGCAGAGAGCGGAGGCGGUGGUGGUGGCGGCCGCUGGCCAGUGUAAGAUGGCGGCGGCGUUGGUGGUGGCAGUGGACGGGGCGGCUGGGCCUGGAACAGUCGGAGCAGCCGCUAGCAGAAGGAUUACCCAAGACGGGAAGCGGGCUGCUGAGCCUCGCCGAUUCCCGUUCUUGUAACUGCCCCAGCCGGACCCCCCCCCCCCCCCUUGACCUUACCCGGUCUGUGUCUCGUUCCGGCUCGGCCUGCCCCCGCUCCGCUCCCCAGCCGGUUUCCCCUAAGGAUGGGCCUGACUCCUUUCCCAAGCUCUUAGCGCUCAGGUCUUUUCCUUCCGCCGACCCGAAGUCAUCGCCGGGAAUACUGGUUGUCCUUUCUUCAGUCCUUCAGUGAAUCGACAGACCUAUUUUCUCAGGAGCUCAGCCUGGCCUUACUUCAGUGAUAAAAGAAGGAAAGGCUGGGUACAGCAAACCUCAUUCAAGAUGUCCAGCAAAGGGAGCAGCACAGAUGGCAGAACAGACUUAGCUAAUGGAAGCUUGUCUAGCAGUCCAGAGGAGAUGUCUGGAGCUGAAGAGGGGAGGGAGACAUCCUCGGGCAUUGAAGUGGAGGCCUCAGACCUGAGUUUGAGUUUGACUGGGGAUGAUGGUGGCCCCAACCGCACCAGCACAGAAAGUCGAGGCACAGACACAGAGAGCUCAGGUGAAGAUAAGGACUCUGACAGCAUGGAGGACACUGGUCAUUACUCUAUUAAUGAUGAAAAUCGAGUCCAUGACCGCUCAGAGGAAGAGGAAGAGGAGGAAGAAGAGGAGGAAGAAGAGCAGCCUCGGCGUCGUGUACAGCGCAAGCGGGCUAACCAUGACCAGGACUCAUCAGAUGAUGAGCGGGCCCUAGAGGACUGGGUGUCCUCGGAAACAUCAGCUCUACCCCGACCUCGCUGGCAAGCCCUCCCUGCCCUUCGGGAGCGGGAGCUGGGUUCAAGUGCCCGCUUUGUCUAUGAGGCCUGUGGGGCAAGAGUCUUUGUGCAGCGUUUCCGCCUGCAGCAUGGGCUUGAGGGCCACACUGGUUGUGUCAAUACCCUGCACUUUAACCAGCGCGGCACCUGGCUGGCCAGUGGCAGCGAUGACCUGAAGGUGGUGGUGUGGGAUUGGGUGCGGCGGCAGCCAGUACUGGACUUUGAGAGUGGCCACAAAAGUAAUGUGUUCCAGGCCAAGUUUCUUCCUAACAGUGGUGAUUCCACUCUGGCCAUGUGUGCCCGUGAUGGGCAGGUUCGGGUAGCAGAACUGUCUGCUACACAGUGUUGCAAGAAUACAAAACGUGUGGCCCAGCACAAAGGAGCGUCCCACAAGUUGGCUCUGGAACCAGACUCUCCCUGUACGUUCUUAUCUGCAGGUGAAGAUGCAGUUGUUUUCACCAUUGACCUGAGACAAGACCGCCCAGCUUCGAAACUGGUGGUGACAAAAGAGAAAGAGAAGAAAGUGGGACUGUAUACGAUCUUUGUGAAUCCUGCCAAUACCCACCAGUUUGCAGUGGGUGGACGAGAUCAGUUUGUAAGGAUUUAUGACCAGAGGAAAAUUGAUGAGAAUGAGAACAAUGGAGUACUCAAGAAGUUCUGUCCUCAUCACCUGGUGAACAGUGAGUCCAAAGCAAACAUCACCUGUCUUGUGUACAGCCACGACGGCACAGAGCUCCUGGCCAGUUACAAUGAUGAAGAUAUUUACCUCUUCAACUCCUCUCACAGUGAUGGGGCCCAGUAUGUUAAGAGAUACAAGGGCCACAGAAAUAAUGCCACAGUAAAAGGCGUCAAUUUCUAUGGCCCUAAGAGUGAGUUUGUGGUGAGCGGUAGUGACUGUGGGCACAUCUUCCUCUGGGAGAAAUCAUCCUGCCAGAUUAUUCAGUUCAUGGAGGGGGACAAGGGAGGCGUGGUGAGUAUGGUAUGCUGAGCUGGCUGGCUCCCUAAUCUCUCCAGUCAUUAAGGUAGGUUUUAGCAGGGACACUGAAUUCUGUGACUACAUAAUACCAUGUUUUAGAGGUCCAACCAGCCAUAAAAGGCUAGUUAGCCUGGGGGUGCUGAGUUUUUGAUGGAGUAUUUUCUUCCUGUUCCUAUCUUCUGUCCCUGUAAAGCACAGUUUAUUGAGACAAGAAAGGGAUCUUAGGGAAGAACCUCUGUCCUGUCUUGAGUGAUGUAACUUAUCUCUAGGCAUGCACCUUUUCCAAAUGAAAAAGUGUUAGUGUUCAGGGCACACCCUCCUACACAAGGCUAAAGAUUUCUCUAUGUCUCUUCCCUUUAAACUAAACUAAGUAGUGAUCUUGGCUGGAUCUUAGAUCAGCAGAUAAAAACUAUAAAGAGCAUUUUUUGGACAGUUGGGAAAAUUAGAAUAUGGUUUAUACAUUAGAUAACAUGGUAUUCAAUAUUAAAUUUAUUUGAUUUGAUUACUUAUGUAGGAGAAUAUUCUUGUACUUAAGAGAUACAUGUUGAAGUAUUUAGGGGUGAAGUGUCAUACUUACAUUCAAAUAGGUAACAAACACAUAUAAAUGUGUAUAUGUAAGGAGAAAGCAAAUGUAAUUUUUUUCUAGUAGCUGAGCAGUCUGCUUGCUGUAUAACCCAUGAUCAUAUCAUAGUCUGCCUGUCCUUUGAGUUCUGCAGACCUCUGUGGAGUUAGGUCAAAAAGGAAGAGUGAGAAUCGAGUUAGGGAAUGAAGAGCCAUCAGCUCUUAAGAUGUAUCUGGUUAACCGUAUCUUUUUUUUUUUUUUUUUUUUUUUCCAUUUUUGAGACCUAGAAUUAGAAAAGAGUUCAGUUGCUUUGUGUUACAAGGUUUUUGGACCACAGGAGAUGGGAAAAAGACAGUUUGGAAGACUAAAUUAUACUGAUUGCCCAGAAUAGUCUGGUUACCCAAGACCUCUAAGGAAUGACUGAGACAGCUUAGUCUCUCUUCCUUUUUAUUGCUUCUUAGCUGUGGCGAACUUCAAAGAGCCUAGCCAUCUCUUGAUGAGGUUUUUUUUCAGCGAGUGGUUUUAGAAUUUAGAAUGGUUCCUUGCAAUCAGGAUCCCAUUCCUUAUGUUUUUCUUGCCCUGGUAUGAGGGUAUUUCAAAUUUCUUCUGGUUUCCUCUAAAUUUUGGGGACCUGGGAUCUGCAUAGAUCUAGGGUUUUUAUGGUUUGAAUACAAAUGGAGAGGAAUCUAGAAGUUCAAGGUGUGUCUCACUCUUCCCUGCUUCAUUUCCUACUCUUCCAUAGGUCCCCCUGUGUCAUCUGCAGUGAACAAACCCAAAACACUUGAGUCUUAAUGGGAAUUAUGCAAUAGGCAUUUAGAGAAAGGAAGUCAGAAGGGGCCAGUGAAUUUUUUCUUGACAUAAGCUAUUGCCUUGCAUUCUGUUCCAGAGAGAUGCAGGGCUGAAUGCCCUCUGCCAGGCCAGCAUUUGUCCAUUCUCCAAAAGCAUUCUGCAGGCCAGUUUGCUUUUAGCUCAGCCAAUGCCAGGGUUUGAUGAUUAACCCAUUUGCCCAGGCAUUAUUGACAGGAUAAGUCCUGGCAUUCAGACAGGUCUGGUGAAGUGACCAGGUACUCUGGCCCAGAAGUUCUCUGUCGGCUCCCCCCGCAGGCUCCAAUUCAGGUACUGUAUGUUAUUCUCUUGUUCCUCUUGCCACUGGCUUUUUCCUUAGUCUUAAGUUCCAAGGAAUUGUUCCCCUGCGCUUUUUUAUUUUGCUGACUUAUUCAAGCAGAGCUAGCUCAAAGAGUACAGGUCUGUAACAAGGGCUUAUUAGGAGAUAGAUGAAAAAGUUCAGGUUUGUAUGUGUAAGUUGUCUGUUACUAGAGAUAGAUAUUAUUCCAGGCAUUGAACUGCACUGCCUCAAACAGCCCAAAGGUAAACUUCACAAUAGGCUGAUAUGUGGAAUGGGAGGAGAUAAAGAACAAGGUUUCUGUUUUAUUCAUAAGCUCAGUCUUAGCUUCAGUCUUUUCUGAGCAUUUGUUUAUUUGUAAGAUGGAGUCAAAGUAAGUGGGAAGUCUGUAGGUCAGCUCUGUUUUCCAUGCCUGCCCUUGACUUAUCCUCAGCUGUUCUCUGCCUGGGCAGGUGAGGCAGGGGAGGUGGUUGGUCCAGAGAGAACUAAAAGAAGUUGUUUUCUUGGACUAUAUGGCCAGCUGCAAGGCAGGGUGCCUUUCCUAUGUGUUCCUCCUUUCACUAAAAGACUCAAAAUGCUUUAGCAGCUAGAUCUGGAACUAACUCUUCUGGAUGGGGUAGGAACUUCCCUGCCCUUCCCUUAAGGAAACUCAUGUUUCCAAGUCAGACAGCAGGGGGCAUGGGUGCCUUUCAGACAGAAGGAAGCUGCCUAAGCUAGAAGGCCUUCCUGCUGUAGUUUAUUUCUUUGGCCUUGUUCAGUGAAUUUACCCAGAGGGUGGCUGAGAUUGAGGCUAUGGGAACCCCAAGAAGCUGCUUUAUUUUAAUGUGCUGCCUUAUAGCUGAGCCUGUUGUGCUCAGGGCAGGUAGUAGGAUGCUCCCCCUGGGAUGUGCAAGGUUCUCUUAAGCAGACAUGAGCCUCCAUCACUCCCACCACUCCCUGCAACUGAGCCUCCUCUUCUCAGCCUGUGCCUUCCUCCAGUUCUAGUAAACAGUGCCAAAUGAAUAUAGUUGUUCUCCAACUCUUCUCUGGGGGUUCAUUGGCAGCUGCUGCUUGCUUCAUUUUUUAAAAUUUAUUUGCCAUUUUGUGAAAGCCACUGAGAUGGUUUUUUCCCAGCCUUGGGCAAGUUGGAGCUUUGGAAUCUGGAGUGAAUGAGGUCAUCUGGAUUUCAUUGUCUUACGAAGCCAGCAGUAAGCUUGGGCAGUCCACUCACCGAUCCCUAGGGCCGUAUCUGGGGAUGAAGCCACCCCUGACCUAAACAUAGGAAAUGAUUGAUGUGCCUGGUCUUAUACCCAGUCUGUGUCUGGUUUCUCUACCCCCAGUGCCCUUUGGCUUAGGCUCAGGAUGGGUGGGCCUUCCUUCCCCAGCAGCUGCAUCAGCCCUGAUCAAGGGCAAUUAUUUGGCUCAAGGUGAGUAGUGGUUUUUAAACCCUACUCCCACACACUGCUGAGUCUGUGUUUUCCUUUCUUCCUGACUAGGUAAACUGCCUUGAGCCCCACCCUCACCUGCCUGUGCUGGCAACCAGUGGCCUAGACCAUGAUGUGAAGAUCUGGGCACCCACAGCUGAAGCUUCCACUGAGCUGACAGGGUUAAAAGAUGUGAUUAAGAAGAACAAGCGGGAGCGGGAUGAAGAUAGCUUGCACCACCCUGACCUGUUUGAUAGUCACAUGCUGUGGUUCCUUAUGCAUCACUUGAGACAGAGACGCCAUCACCGGCGCUGGCGAGAACCUGGGGUUGGGGCCACAGACGCGGACUCUGAUGAGUCUCCCAGCUCCUCAGACACAUCGGACGAGGAGGAGGGCCCUGACCGGGUGCAGUGCAUGCCAUCUUGAGGCCUCAUACCUAGGUGGGGCAGGCUGGGGCUGCCAAUCUGAUCCUGCCUGGGCAACCCUUUCCUGUCCCAGGCCCUACAUUCAGCAGAAACGCACUUUGGACUUUUUGCUUUAGAUAAAACAAAGACAUCCCAGGAGAAGGACAAACCAGAGGAGUGAACCAACAGAGUACCUAGGAAUGGGAGUUGACGCCUGGAAUGGGGCUCCGUGGAGAGGUGCAUAGGACUCAGUAGAAAUGGCCUCUCCCCAAAGCCUCUUUUUGAGAGGAGAGGGAAGCCUAUUUUGUUAACUGGUUUGGGAUAGGGAAUGGGGUUUCUUUUUCUUUAAGCUCCCUUGUUUGUUGGGCGGGGGGGUGGGUGGAACAACUGGCUAUUCACUACCAAGGGGCCAGAGUGGAGGGUAGGAGUGCCACUCUCUCUUUGGUUUAGGUUUUUGACCUUUUCUUCCUUUGUUUUUUAAAAGUAUAUGACAGUUGGUUUCCCCACCACCCCCCUCAGCAACCCCAUCCCAGAAUCCUAUUUUCCUGGGAAGUCCUUAAAGCCCCUAACCAUCCCACACUCUUCACUUUCCUUUCCACCUUAUUCAUUCUUUGUACUUAUCACAGUGUUUUGCACUUGAUUACAUAUCCUUCACUCUCUUCUCUUCAUCCCAUCACCCCCUAAUACGUCAGGUGAGGGAGGUUGGGGAGAGGUGGGAGAGGGGCAGAUGUGAAGGAAGAAUAGGAAGGAUGUUACCUCUUCUGUUAUUUUUUUAAAAAACAUUGUUUGGUGGCAGCAAUCUCCCUGUCCCUAUCACUGUUAGAGGCCUAAUUUUAUAUCUAUAAAUAUAUUAAAAAGCAAGUCAAACUUGGAUGUAUCAAGGUAAAAUUAUUGUCAAAGUUUAAAUACCUAUAUAUUCUCUAUGAAUGCAAUAAAGGGACUUAAGAGUGAACAAGAGUAAUGGUGUGGAGGUGACACCUGGGGUCAGUUUACCUCUGUGUAUGGUCACUAGAGAUUGGGACUUACCCUUUAGGUUUUUGGAGGCUCGAGAAUGGAAGGAUCCUCAUUUCUGCCCUUCCUGGUUCCCUGCUUUGGUGUGGGGGUUGGGAAAAACAGGAAAUUCCUCUCAGCUCUUUGCCUCAGAUCUCCUACCUCUCCUUAAGUCUUGUAGGGGGUUCCAAGGAUGGCUCUUCUAACCAGAGGCUGGCCUGUCUUUAAAACUUAAAUACUUUAGGGUGGUGCCACCACUGCAGACUAUUGUGGUACUUUGUGUGACAGAAGACACGUACACACACACCACACACAUACACAUACACACACUCUCUCUCUCUCUCUCUCUUACCUUUAGCUGCUUGAUCUUUAAGCCAUCCAACUUGAUGCCAGUUCCCUUCUUUAUAGAAGAGUGAAGGGAAAGACUUCCUGGGUUUGACUUAAACCUUGUCCGCCUCUUGAUAUUUUAGGAUUGAGGAACAAGUCAUUAAUCUAAGGACUGAUUACAGUGGCUGGAGCUUCGGCACUUGUCUUAUCACUGGUCACUCAGUCUGAAAGUCCCAGCUGAAUUCUUGCCCUUAAGUGCUUUUGCUGCUAUUUUGUUGCCCCCAGUUUCCACAAGAUCCAAUCAAGAAUUCUGUGUCCUGGGACAGUCAGAUUCUACUAAAUCAGGCCAGGAAGGAGGGGAAAAGAGUGAGAGAAUGGUAUUCCCAGACGCUUCUUCCUCCUGCCCCUUUUCCCAGCAGCUCUCAGACCAGAUGUUGGCUGCUGUACUUACUCCCUGAGGUAGGGAAUGUGUGAUUGAGUGGUCUGUGUUCCUAUUGCUGGUGGGGUGAUAGGGUGGGCUAAAAACCAUGCACUCUGGAAUUUGUUGUAUUUUCUCCCAGUAAAGCUUUUCUUUCCCCCAACUGCU